CCCUUAGAUGUUCUGGGCCGCACGCGCGCUACACUGACGGAGGCAACAAGCCUAUCCUUGGCCGAGAGGUCCGGGUAAUCUUCGAAACUCCGUCGUGAUGGGGCUAGAUGAUUGCAAUUAUUCAUCUUCAACGAGGAAUCCCUAGUAAGGGCGCGUCAUCAACGCGUCCUGAUUACGUCCCUGCCCUUUGUACACACCGCCCGUCGCUCCUACCGAUUGAAUGGUCCGGUGAAGCGUUCGGACCGUGGCCUUUGGACGGUUCGCCGUCUGUUGGCUGCGGGAAGUUCGUUAAACCUUAUCAUUUAGAGGAAGGAGAAGUCGUAACA
rnacentral:rRNA from 1 species